AACGUAGGAGGCGAGCGUUAUCCGGAUUCACUGGGCGUAAAGCGCGCGUAGGCGGUUCGUUAAGUCGGGCGUGAAAGCCCCUGGCUCAACUGGGGGAGGUCGUCCGAAACUGGCGGGCUCGAGGGUGAGAGAGGGAAGUGGAAUUCCCGGUGUAGCGGUGGAAUGCGUAGAGAUCGGGAGGAACACCAGUGGCGAAGGCGGCUUCCUGGCUCACUCCUGACGCUGAGAGCGCGAAAGCGUGGGGAGCAAA
rnacentral:rRNA from 1 species